AUGCGUGCUUUCUAUGACAUUGAGGUAUAUGCUUAUUCUCUUGUCACACGUAUUUGCAUCUCUACCUCACAUUUACAUGCUUGUUUCCUUGAUGUCCUUGAUUUUGCUCCAUUUAUGCGCUUACAUGACAUGUCACAAUCCCUUGUCACACCAUAUAUUAUGCUUGAUGACGACACUUGUUUGGUGAAUCACCUCUUGAAUGCUUGCUUUUGCACUAAUGCUAACCACAUUUGUUUUUCCAAAUGUUUGUUAUACUUGCUCCUUUUGAAGGAAUCCCAAGACGGUGCGACAUUGGAGAGUGCCCAUUUCGAGCAACAACAUGAUAAGUGCUUGGUGGUUGUCCAAUUCUACACGGUGACGCCCUCUCUUUCCCAUGGUGAUGAAUAUAACGAUCCGUGGACGGAUCUCUCCCAGGGGGGGUGA
rnacentral:rRNA from 1 species